rnacentral:rRNA from 1 species
GAUGAACGCUGGCGGCGUGCUUAACACAUGCAAGUCGAACGAUGAAAGCGGGAGCUUGCUCCUGCUGGAUUAGUGGCGAACGGGUGAGUAACACGUGAGUAACCUGCCCUUGACUCUGGGAUAAGCGUUGGAAACGACGUCUAAUACCGGAUACGACCUUCGGAGGCAUCUCCUGGGGGUGGAAAGAAUUUCGGUCAAGGAUGGCCUCGCGGCCUAUCAGCUAGUUGGUGAGGUAAUGGCUCACCAAGGCGACGACGGGUAGCCGGCCUGAGAGGGUGACCGGCCACACUGGGACUGAGACACGGCCCACGACUCCUACGGGAGGCAGCAGUGGGGAAUAUUGCACAAAUGGGCGCAAGCCUGAUGCAGCAACGCCGCGUGA